AACGAACGCUGGCGGCAGGCUUAACACAUGCAAGUCGAGCGAGACCUUCGGGUCUAGCGGCGGACGGGUGAGUAACGCGUGGGAACGUGCCCUUCUCUACGGAAUAGCCCCGGGAAACUGGGAGUAAUACCGUAUACGCCCUUUGGGGGUAAGAUUUAUCGGAGAAGGAUCGGCCCGCGUUGGAUUAGGUAGUUGGUGGGGUAAUGGCCCACCAAGCCGACGAUCCAUAGCUGGUUUGAGAGGAUGAUCAGCCACACUGGGACUGAGACACGGCCCAGACUCCUACGGGAGGCAGCAGUGGGGAAUCUUAGACAAUGGGGGCAACCCUGAUCUAGCCAUGCCGCGUGAGUGAUGAAGGCCUUAGGGUUGUAAAGCUCUUUCAGCUGGGAAGAUAAUGACGGUACCAGCAGAAGAAGCCCCGGCUAACUCCGUGCCAGCAGCCGCGGUAAUACGGAGGGGGCUAGCGUUGUUCGGAAUUACUGGGCGUAAAGCGCACGUAGGCGGACUGGAAAGUCAGAGGUGAAAUCCCAGGGCUCAACCUUGGAACUGCCUUUGAAACUAUCAGUCUGGAGUUCGAGAGAGGUGAGUGGAAUUCCGAGUGUAGAGGUGAAAUUCGUAGAUAUUCGGAGGAACACCAGUGGCGAAGGCGGCUCACUGGCUCGAUACUGACGCUGAGGUGCGAAAGCGUGGGGAGCAAACA
rnacentral:rRNA from 1 species